UACGGAGGGUGCGAGCGUUAAUCGGAAUUACUGGGCGUAAAGAGUGCGUAGGUGGUUGAUUAAGUUAUCUGUGAAAUCCCUGGGCUUAACCUGGGCAGGUCAGAUAAUACUGAAUGACUCGAGUAUGGGAGAGGGUAGUGGAAUUUCCGGUGUAGCGGUGAAAUGCGUAGAGAUCGGAAGGAACACCAGUGGCGAAGGCGGCUACCUGGCCUGAUACUGACACUGAGGCACGAAAGCGUGGGGAGCAAACAGG
rnacentral:rRNA from 1 species